CGGACGCAGACGCACACCUCCCAACACGUCCAGUCCACCCCGACCCGAUCCUCCGCGCACGCCAGACAGAGGUGGGCGAGCACUACUACACAGUACACACACACAUCCACGCUCACUACAAGAGCCAGCCACGCACGCGACCGCGCCCAAGACACGACGACCAACCAAGGGAGAGGGCGGCGACGAGGGCGCACGACGGCACGCCGAACGCUCUCGCAAUGCAUCACGCCAAGACCGACUCGGAGGUGACGUCGAGCAUGGCGCCGUCGUCGCCGCCGCGGGCGCCCUACUACGUGCAGUCGCCCAGCCACGACGACGGCGAGAACCACUCCAAGACGGCCGCCUCCUCCUUCCACUCUUCCCCGGCCGCGUCCCCGCCGCGCUCGCUCGGGAACCACUCCAGGGAGUCCUCCUCCUCCCGCUUCUCCGGCAAGGUCCCCUCCGCAGGCUCCUCCCGCCGCGGCGUCGUCGGCGGAGGCGGGAAGCGCGGCGGGGGUGGCGGCGGCGGCGAGGCGGCGCGCCGCAGCCCCUGGAUGAAGGAGGCGGCCAUCGAGGAGGAGGGGCUCCUCAUGGAGGACGACGACGACGCCGACGGCCGCGCCGGCGGCUUCUCCGCGCUCCCCAAGAAGGUGCGCUACGGGCUCGGCUUCGUCGGCGCCUUCCUCGUGCUCUUCACCUUCUUCGCCCUCAUCCUCUGGGGCGCCAGCCGCAACCAGAAGCCCGUCGUCUCCGUCAACAGCGUCACGUUCCACAACUUCGUGAUCCAGGCGGGGACGGACGCGUCGCUGGUGCCCACGGAGAUGUCCACGAUCAACGCCACGGUGAGGCUCACGUUCCGCAACACGGGGAGUUUCUUCGGCGUGCACGUCACGGCGCAGCCCGUCACGCUCUACUACUCCCAGCUCCUCAUGGCCUCCGGCGAUGUAAGCAUUCAUUCAUUCCCGCACGCGCAUCCUUAAUUCCUCAUACAGAUUUCUUUGAACGGUUUCAUCUGAUUGAUCGAUCGAAUGGUAAGCCUCAAGUUGGAGAACAACCGAGUCAAAUCUGGUAAAUGGCUGUGAAUUAAUCACAAUACGUACUGCAUUCAGGUCAUGCCUGAACGAUUGAUUUCUUGUUGAUAGAUACGUAAAAUUUUGUGCGGUGCAUUUACGUCAACAAGUAGUCUUAUGAACACACAUUUGCAUAUUGUAAGCCCAAAGAGAAAGUCAGUCUUGCUCUGUGGUUUCUAGAUGUGAACUUUGGACUACAGCUGCACUGCACAUGUCUUGACCAAAACAAAGGGUGUUAAUUUAGCCAUGGCAACGUCUGCUGAUAGCUACAAAAGCAGAGGCCACUGAACGCUGCUGAAAAACUCGAACAGGACAUCGUCAUCCCGAGUUGCUGUCAUCCAGUUCAUAUCCUUUAUUUCUUUCUUUUUCCGCGGGAAAUCCAGUUCAUAUUCUUUGUUUCUUUCUCUCUCUUUUCUCUGCGUGGAAAUCUCAUUCAUAUUCAACUCAAGUUGUAACCUUGGCCAAAAAACAAAAACUCAUCUAAUAAUAGUUGUGAAUCCUGAUCCAACGACUGUCUGUGGCAGAUGAAGUACUUCUACCAGCCUCGGAAGAGCCAGCGCAAGGUGGCGGUGACGGUGGUGGGCAGCAAGGUGCCGCUGUACGGCGGCGGCGCGGGGCUGAGCAGCACGCCGGGGCCCAAGGGCGUGCCCCCGCCGCCGGUGCCGCUGCAGCUGACGCUGAGGAUCAGGGCUCGGGCGCUGGUGCUGGGCAAGCUGGUGAAGCCCAGGUUCUACAACAACGUGCAGUGCAGCGUCCGCCUGGACACGACCAAGCUGGGCAAAGCCAUAUCCCUCAAGAAAUCCUGCACCCACGUCUAGGUCUAGCCACACGACCCGACCUCCCGCCACCGCCAUCUUUCUUUCUUCUUCUCGUUGCUUGCUGCGUAUGUUAUGCUAUGUGAUGUGAUGUAAUGCGUAGAUUACCAUGAGUACCAUUUUGACGGGAGAAAGCGGCAUGCCACUUGUGUAUGCACAGAUGAAUUUUGUCGCCUGCGUCGGGAUGGAAUGAAUGAAUGAUCACGCGUUUCUUGCCGCAUUUUUUCAUGGACGGUGACGGUGUGGGUGUGGUUGUGGCGUGGGUUUUGUGAUGUGUGCACAAGGCGUGGUUGCCGUGAAGCCGGUGUUGCUUCCGUUUUUGGUGUAGACUGGAUUAGCGGACGUUGCUGUCCCAUCACCGUCGCUGUAAACUGCUCCCAUAAACCGUGGAUUUUCCCCCUUUCUUUCUACACGGAGGUUUU
rnacentral:rRNA from 1 species